AAAGCUCGCCUUUGGCCAUUCGCAACUCAGAUUGAAAAUCACAAAAGACGCUCUCUUUUUAUUUCACUCAGUUUCAACCCAUCCAUCUCCACCCUCUCCCCUUGUCAUCUCUAGCAAGAACUCAAGAGCCUUGGCUAUCUUUCAGAGCAUAGUCGUGUGGGUUCAUCUAUGUGAGGGUGCCAAAUCCAGAAAACCCUCAACAAAAUCAAAAUCACCAUCAGCUGCGGCUUCGUCGAAGAGACAAUCGGAUGCUCACCGAGAUCCGUCCCAACUCCGACCCCCCCGACUCAGAUGAGCUGACCCAGACGGAGUUCAACCCCAACACCACAUAGUCUCGCAGUUCCUGAGCUUGGUUAACGACUUCGUUGCCUUGUUCUGAGAUACUCAUCUGCGUCUGUUGGAGGAUUUCAGCGAGCAAGUCAAUCUUCAAGUUGGGAGCAGACAUAUUGGGAGAACCUACUGAUAACUCAAAAAUGCCCCUUUUCUGUGAAUGUUCUGCUGCCCAUUGCUGAGAUUCUGUAGCCAUCAUAUCAAACAGUUCAAAUGCCUCUCUUGCAGAUUUAUUUGACAAUGAUCCUCCUGCUUAUGCAUUCACAUGGCUCUUAGAUGUAGGAUUAAGCCCAUCAAAGAAAAUAUUCAUUUGUGUAUCUGAAUCAAUUUUAACAUGUGGACACUUUAUGUACAUCUCUGUAUAUCUCUCCCACGCUUCAUGAAACUCUUCAUUAGGCUUCGUGUAAAUGUCAAAAUCUCCCUCUUGAAAUUCAAUGUCUUGGAUGCUGGAUAAUAUUUGUUCAGGAAUUUUGUGUGUAACUGCUGCCAAGUAGUAAUGCUAUUAGAGGGUAGAGUGAAUAACCAA